GGCCGGGCCCGUGGGCACCGCAGGACGCGCGGACCGAGCGGGCGCCGGGCACCAGCAAUGACAAGCCGCCUGCUCGCCCCUCUCCCCGGCGCACCCGCUCCGGGAGGGGGGCGGCGGGCACGCGCAAAACCCGGCCCGGAGCCGCCGCCCGGGACCGGCCGCCGCAACCUGCCCAAGCGCACCGGAGGCCGGUCCGAAAACCCGGAAUGGACUUUCCUCCCCUUCGCCCCGCUCUUGUCCCUAUGGAAAAACCGGGAGAGGGAAGGAGUUGUGCUGGAUCCCGGCUUUGGAACGGGAAGUGGGGGAGGGGAGACAGGCUCGAGGAAGACCCGGAACGGAUUUUGCAGGUAGUGGAGUAAAGGCGCUUUGCCCGGUGAGGGGAGAAAUGGGAGCGAUCUGGAAGGGGUCUGCAAAACCCGGGUUGGAUUAGACAGAGAUGGGAGGAACGAAGGCAGCUGCGACAGGGCCAAAUGCACCCCGGGCACGCAAAUUUCGGGCCGGAUUCUUCCUCGGGAGACGGAGUAAUGCGUCAUGCCUAAUGCAGUGGGAAUAAGCAAGACCUGGCCUAGAGCUCCCAGACCUGGGCUCGCAGGGGUCUCCGGGAAGGGGCUAUUUAGUGGCUGAGGCGGCGUGGGCUGCCCUCGUCUUCCUGGCAGCGACGUGCAAGAAGGAGGGGCAAAAGGAGGGCUGGACUCGGGCACGAAAGGAUCUGGAGCGCUGGCUGCACCGAAGCAGGCAGCACCUGGUAGGAUCCAUGAAAGGCUUUGGCGGUACCGCAGGGGGCAACCAGGAACCCUCCCCCCACAUCCACACAGCCAGCUUUCUAUAAACCUGGAAGGAUUGAAAGGGGGAAGAACGUGCAGCUCAAGGAAGGCUGAGCAUCUCCAGAGCCCCCUGGCUCCUAGUCCUCCCACCACCCUGCCGUCCAGCCCUGAGUAGCCCACCCACCUGCUCUAUGGAGGGACCCUCGGAACCAAUGAAUGUGCCUGGGGGACGGUACUAACUUGCGUUCUUCAGUUGCUGCGAGAAGCGGUGUCUUUAAUUUAUACGAGGGAAAGGAGUGCCAUGCUUUAAGGAACCCCCGGCUCAGUUUGGAAAAAUCCUGGCUAGGACUCCCUUCCCCCAAACCCUCCUCUUUUUUCCCCAAAGCCCGUGGUCAGCAGAGCGCCCCGUGUUGUGGCCGGGAUCGGUUUCACUAGCCUCCAUUCUAUCGCGGUUUUUAGGCCUCGCGGGCGAGGGGCUCAAGAGGAGAAGGAUGAGUAGAGGCUGGGGGCGCAAAAGAGCCCCAGCGCUUCUCCCCGAAGACCCCCGGCUGCGCAGCCGCAGUGGAUGCCGCGCCAGCAGCCGGGCUCCUGAAACUAACGCGUCCGCGCGCGCGCAGUCUCGCCCCAGCUCCCGGCGCCCAGCACCGCGCGUGUCCGUACCCGCGCCCAGGACGCCCUACUCCCAAGGCGCUUCUCUCUUUGCGCAUCCUACCUAUGCCUCGGAUUCUCACGCUCAGCGUGACCCGCGUCUUGGAUACCCAACGUCCUGUCCAUCCGGCGCCUGGACAUCCACUUUUCUCUUUACCCUAUGCCAGAAAACCCUCACACCCAGGUGGCCCGCGCCUAGGACACCCCACGUACGGAUCCCCCGGCGUCUUGGAGACCCUACAUUCUGUGCAUCUAGCAUUUGGCGCACCCUGACCUCAGACGUGGAUAGCUCUACUCACCUGUGCCCUCUGCCCUCCUCCUGUGUCCACGUGUGUUGAGCUCCAGUGCUGACCGACCUGGGUGCUGGUUUCCUCCACCUUCCUCUGUCCCCGAUCUUCUGAGUCCUCUACCUCAGGGCUGGCGCCCUCAGUCGUGGGUGUCCUGUUUCUUCGUAUUCCUUAGUGCGGACGCUGCACCUUCCUCACUCCCAAGAAACAAGAGUCCAGGAAGCCACCCAGGUCCAGUCUGAGCAACAGCUGGCAGGCAGCAAUGGUGGUCCAUUCCCGGUAAGGCACCAACUGGGAGGGGAGGCCAGUUGGGUUGCACUUCCCACCCCGACCGCUAGGGGCCGCUGCCCCGCUGCUCUGCGGCCGCCAGGUGAGGAGGAGGCCCCGCCUCUUCCCCAGCAGGUGCUCUGGUUGGUCGAGAGGGCAGGGGACUGGAGUAAAGAGAGCAGGGCUGGGGGAGGAGUUGGGGGAACGAAAUGGGGGUGAAGGGAGAGAGCUGAGCGAGUCCCACGUAGAGGAUGCUGAAAGAGCAUGCAGAACUUCCCUGAACCCAUGUCCCCUGCAUCAGAAACAUGGAGCCUUAACCACCAGAACACCAGGGAAUUCCUGACCAGCAUCCUUAGAAGAGAAGAGGAAAGGACAGUGGAAAAGGCCACAUGAAGAUGGCGGCAGAAGUUGGAGUGAUGCAGUCACACAGCAAGGCACACCUGGAAACGCCAGACGCUGGAGUGUGGGGCUUCCCAGGUGGCCCAGUGGUUAAGAAUCUGCCUUGUAAUGCAGCAGACACCAGGUUCCUUCCUGGUCUGGGAAGACCCCAUAUGCUGAGGGGCAGCUAAGACGGUGUGCCGCAACCAAUGAGCCCACGUGCAGCAACUACUGAAGGCUGUGUGUCUUAGAGCCUGUGCUCCACAAGAGAAGCCACCACAAUGAGAAGCCCACGCACUGCAACGAGAGAGUACCCUUGUUGGCUGCAACUAGAAAAAGCCCUCGAGCAGCAAUGAAGACCCCGUGCAGUCAAAAAC
ensembl:lncRNA